UUUCACCCUCCAGAAAGCAUAAAUCACCUCCUUUUCUGAACAAAGGAAUGAAAAAGUGAAGUAAGAGCCUGAGUGAACAAUUACCUCCAGAAGCUAAGUGUGACGCUACAGAACCACUUCCAUGGGAUAGAGAACAUUAUACAUGCAGUGACAAUAUAAUUGAAUCAUUCAAACCUGGGCCAUUUUUGAUCAAGGAGCUGUGGAGAGGUGGGGCACUAACAAAGCCAGUCACCACCUGAGUGUUGAGUGCUGAAUGCCAUGAACAGCAUCCUGUGGAGCUGCUGCUAAGGAAACUGGAUAGAAGGAGGUGAAAAAGUAAGUCGAGGCAAGGACCUGGACAAAACCUGGGGUAUAAAUGCUAAGUCUAGAGGGGCCACAGACCUUACUCUGAUGCAACAUGACCUGGGGCCAGAGGAAAUAAUUUAGAAAAGCCUAGUCACAUUGAAAGACAUACAAGCAGGCAUCCCAUGUCAUAGCUUACCCACUGGCCUGUAAGGAUAGUGUGGGCACAGGUAUGGGUGACUUAAAGAACCAUCAAAAAUCUCCUGGC
rnacentral:lncRNA from 12 species